AUUGAACGCUGGCGGCAGGCCUAACACAUGCAAGUCGAACGAGUGGCGGACGGGUGAGUAAUGUCUGGGAAACUGCCUGAUGGAGGGGUAUCACUACUGGAAACGGUAGCUAAUACCGCAUACUAGCAGAUGUGCCCAGACGGGAUUAUAUAGUGGGGGGGGUAAUGGCUCACCUAGGCGACGAUCCCUAGCUGGUCUGAGAGGAUGACCAGCCACACUGGAACUAAGACACGGUCCAGACUCCUACGGGAGGCAGCAGUGGGGAAUAUUGGACAAUGGGCGCAAGCCUGAUGCAGCCAUGCCGCGUGUAUGAAGAAGGCCUUCGGGUUGUAAAGUACUUUCAGCGAGGAGGCGUUACUCGAAGAAGAAGCACCGGCUAACUCCGUGCCAGCAGCCGCGGUAAUUC
rnacentral:rRNA from 1 species